UCAAAUCAGGGAGGGCUACCCGCUGAACUUAAGCAUAUCAAUAAGCGGAGGAAAAGAAACUAMCAAGGAUUCCCCUAGUAACUGCGAGUGAAGCGGGAAGAGCUCAAAUUUGUAAUCUGGCGGUUCUGCCGUCCGAGUUGUAAUCUGGAGAAGCGUUUUCCGUGCCGGACCGUGUACAAGUCCCUUGGAACAGGGCGUCAUAGAGGGUGAGAAUCCCGUCUCUGACACGGACUGCCGGUGCUCUGCGAUGCGCUCUCGAAGAGUCGAGUUGUUUGGGAAUGCAGCUCAAAAUGGGUGGUAAAUUCCAUCUAAAGCUAAAUAUUGGCGAGAGACCGAUAGCGAACAAGUACCGUGAGGGAAAGAUGAAAAGCACUUUGGAAAGAGAGUAAAACAGUACGUGAAAUUGUUGAAAGGGAAACGCUUGAAGUCAGUCGCGUCUUCCGGAACUCAGCCUUGCUUCUGCUCGGUGCACUUUCCGGUGUGACGGGCCAGCAUCGGCUUCGCGGGGCGGACAAAGGGGAGGGGAAGGUGGCAGCUCCGGCUGUGUUAUAGCCCCUCUCUGCACGCGUCCCGCGGGGCCGAGGAAUCCGGCGCUUGCGCCUGGGAUGCUGGCGUAAUGGCUUUAAGCGACCHGUCUUGAAACACGGACCAAGGAGUGCUACAUGCUCGCGAGUGUUUGGGUGAAAACCCGGGCGCGUAAUGAAAGUGAAAGUCGAUACCCUUUGCUGGGGCACCGACGCCCGAGCCCGAUGUUUUCGGAGGGCCUUGCGGUAGAGCGAGUAUGUUGCGACCCGAAAGAUGGUGAACUAUUCCUGAGGAGGGCGAAGCCAGAGGAAACUCUGGUGGAGGCUCGUAGCGGUUCUGACGUGCAAAUCGAUCGCAGGACUUGG
rnacentral:rRNA from 1 species